UACGUAGGUGGCAAGCGUUGUCCGGAUUUAUUGGGUUUAAAGGGUGCGUAGGCGGUCGGGUAAGUCUGAUGUGAAAUCUCACAGCUUAACUGUGAAACUGCAUUGGAUACUAUCCGGCUAGAGGAAUGGAGGGGAGACUGGAAUACUUGGUGUAGCAGUGAAAUGCGUAGAUAUCAAGUGGAACACCAGUGGCGAAGGCGAGUCUCUGGACAUUUCCUGACGCUGAGGCACGAAAGCCAGGGGAGCAAACGGG
rnacentral:rRNA from 1 species